rnacentral:lncRNA from 1 species
CAAGGUACUCUUGGGUAUAUUAGCUUUCCGCACAAAUGUCGCAACGAAAGUCAGUGGCAUUAACAGUCAUAAAGCGAAGCUUUGAUGCAUUAUAGUACCGGUAGGAGUACAUGUUAGUUUACUUGUCCUUUUCGGCAUUUGCUAGCCAGUUUUUUUUUUUGGAGAGGAAUGCUAGUCAGGUUUGAACCGAUAGAUCGAGUUGUACGUAGACACCCAUCAAGUGUAAAGUUGUGUCUAGUUCUGGGCUUGGCCCAAAAUCACAGAGUACACUUCUGUAUGCAAUCAUAUAUAUACAGUAGUUAAGUCGCAGUUUCAGAACAGAGAAAGAGCAUAUGAAAUGAUCCGUGGAUUAUAUUAAGGCUACGCGCUAUAGCACGUAUACUGGGUUUUUUCAAGAAUGCACCACGUACACUAGUUAAUAACGCGUAUGCAUUUUUUUUUUGAAAAAGCUAACGUGUAUGGAUUGCCAAAUGAAAUGAGAUAUGAUUCGUUAUCCCCAUCGAUCGAUCGCCAACUCAACUCUCAUCGCCACGUACGUCAAUUAACCCCACACUAAUUUGGUCUUUAGAUUAACACACUACUACUUUGGUCUUUAGAUUAACACACUCGCUGUACGCGUGACAAAUUAAUACCCUGCACGCUUAUAAUUCUCAAAAUAAGUGAUAACAAAUUCACG